AUUGAACGCUGGCGGCAGGCUUAACACAUGCAAGUCGAGCGGGGGAGGUUGCUUCGGUAACUGACCUAGCGGCGGACGGGUGAGUAAUACUUAGGAAUCUGCCUAUUAAUGGGGGACAACAUCUCGAAAGGGAUGCUAAUACCGCAUACGCCCUACGGGGGAAAGCAGGGGAUCACUUGUGACCUUGCGUUAAUAGAUGAGCCUAAGUCGGAUUAGCUAGUUGGUGGGGUAAAGGCCUACCAAGGCGACGAUCUGUAGCGGGUCUGAGAGGAUGAUCCGCCACACUGGGACUGAGACACGGCCCAGACUCCUACGGGAGGCAGCAGUGGGGAAUAUUGGACAAUGGGGGGAACCCUGAUCCAGCCAUGCCGCGUGUGUGAAGAAGGCCUUAUGGUUGUAAAGCACUUUAAGCGAGGAGGAGGCUCUUUUGGUUAAUACCCAAGAUGAGUGGACGUUACUCGCAGAAUAAGCACCGGCUAACUCUGUGCCAGCAGCCGCCGUAACAC
rnacentral:rRNA from 1 species